rnacentral:rRNA from 1 species
GAACGAAGUCACUGAGGCCACGCUUCCAAGAAAAGUCUCUAAGCUUCAGAUCACGAGGACCGUACCGCAAACCGACACAGGUAGGCAGGGUGAGAAUCCCAAGGCGCUUGAGAGAACUCGGGUGAAGGAACUAGGCAACAUAGCACCGUAACUUCGGGAGAAGGUGCGCCCAGUAUCGUGGUGAUAUGCAUCAUUGAGCGAUAUUGGGCCGCAGUGACCAGGCCGCUGCGACUGUUUAUCAAAAACACAGCACUCUGCAAACACGUAAGUGGACGUAUAGGGUGUGACGCCUGCCCGGUGCCGGAAGGUUAAUUGAUGGGGUCAGCGCAAGCGAAGCUCUUGAUCGAAGCCCCGGUAAACGGCGGCCGUAACAAUAACGGUCCUAAGGUAGCGAAAUUCCUUGUCGGGUAAGUUCCGACCUGCACGAAUGGCGUAACGACAGCGGCGCUGUCUCCACCCGAGACUCAGUGAAAUUGAAAUCGCUGUGAAGAUGCAGCGUUCCCGCGGC